AUUAACCUCUCAGCCAGUUCCUCUCAGAGCCCUGGUUUCCACUUGCAUCAGGAGACUUGAUACAGAGUGUGUUCAGGCCAAGAGGAGACCUGAAAUGAAAGCCAGCGUCAUCAGGAUUAAUUCAAGCAUGUUACAAUGACUGAAAGCGAUUGUCUCCAGCCCAGGAACCCAAGCACACGGCUCAACCGAUAGCUGGUUGAUGAUUAAUAUCUGUACCACCAUUAAUAUCUGCUCAUGUUUUCCUCUCCGAGAACUUGAUACAUGGGAUUGCUGCUCUCUGGAAGCCGAGCUCCUGCAGCCUGCCUGAGCUCGCACAUCAGAACAUGGCAGCUGAGUUUGGAGAGAGGGGCCACAACGGUUAACAGCCAAAUGACCUUGGCUACUUUCAGGUUUGUUCCUGCUCAUUUCCUCCAUCACUUCCUUGAAAAUGGGAGUGAGGAAGAAGGAAGUGUUUGGAGAAGAUCGCCAUCUGGCACUGGAAUUUGUGUUGGGUAAAUUACAGCGCCUCAACUUGCAAGUGCAUAGGAAAAAAAAAAAAAAAAAAGAAGAAGAAGCCUAAACCGUUUUUCUUUCAUGUUAGAGAUCAAGGCUGGGAGCAACAGAACUUAUUUUUAUUUUAUUUUGUGAUACUACCUGCAAUCAGGAGAAACUUUGGCUGAAAAUGGGUCUGGGAGACAGAAGUAGCAGAAUUUAAUUCAAAGCAUCCAGAGUCAACUGCUCUGGAAUUCCAGGAAUCAAUGUAAUUGCGGGGCCUUGCUUGGGAGGGCUUCCUCCAAGACCUUCUAACUAUACUUAAUCCCACACGAGUGUCAAUAAAACUUUCCUGGAGAAUUCCCUUUUGAUUCUCAACACCUACUUUAAUAUUUUAUUGGAUAGGAAUGACUAAUUUAAAGUGUUCUUGGGCUGGUAAGACGGCUUAUUAGGAUUUAUGUGGCCCAGGAUGGCUUCGAACUCACUCUGUAACCGUCAAUGACCUUGAGUGUCUGAUCUCUCUGCCUCCCCAUCCCAAGGGCUGCGAUUCUGGCAUGUACAACCACGAAAAGUUUAUUUAAUGCUAGGAGUCAAACGCAGGGCUUCACAAACGCUGGGCGAGCGCUAUGCCAAGUGAGCUACAUCCCCAGUUCCCUCUGCUCCUUUUAUCAGCGCUUUGCUAUCAACUUUUCUGGCUGACCCAGCACCCUCUUAACUCCACCAGCCUACCUCCCUUGGUUUAGCCUGCAGCUAAAACGUGCUUAAGGACAACACCGAAAUCCUAAGGAUGUCUUCAUCCUCCUGUAGCCUCCUACCUCAUGACCCCUCCUAUGUAUUUUGCAAGUAUUCUGAUGCCUGACGACAGAA
rnacentral:lncRNA from 1 species